UACGAAGGGGGCUAGCGUUGUUCGGAAUUAUUGGGCGUAAAGCGCUUGUAGGCGGCUUGUUAAGUUCCGUGUGAAAUCCCCCGAGCUUAACUUGGGAAUUGCGCUCGAAACUACGUGGCUGGAGUGUGGCAGAGGAAGGUGGAAUUCCACGUGUAGCGGUGAAAUGCGUAGAGAUGUGGAGGAACACCGAUGGCGAAGGCAGCCUUCUGGGCCAACACUGACGCUCAUGCACGAAAGCGUGGGGAGCAAACAGG
rnacentral:rRNA from 1 species